rnacentral:rRNA from 1 species
AGCAUACCAAUAAGCGGAGGAAAAGAAACUAACAAGGAUUCCCCUAGUAACGGCGAGUGAAGCGGGAAGAGCUCAAAUUUAAAAUCUGACGGUGUAUUCCGUCCGAGUUGUAGCCUAGAGAAGCAUCAUCCGCGCUGGACCAUGUACAAGUCUCUUGGAACAGAGCGUCAUAGAGGGUGAGAAUCCCGUCCUUGACACGGACUCCCAGUGCUUUGUGUUGUGCUCUCGACGAGUCGAGUUGUUUGGGAAUGCAGCCCAAAAUGGGUGGUAAAUUCCAUCUAAAGCUAAAUAUUGGCGAGAGACCGAUAGCGAACAAGUACCGUGAGGGAAAGAUGAAAAGCACUUUGGAGAGAGAGUUAAACAGUACGUGAAAUUGUUGAAAUGGAAACGCUUGAAGUCAGUCGCGUUCUCUGGGAUUCAGCCUUGCUUCUGCUUGGUGCAUUUCCCAGUCUACGGGCCAGCAUGAAUUUCGACCAGUGGAAAAAGGUUUGGGGAAUGUGGCACCUCCGGGUGUGUUAUAGCCCCUUGCUGUAUACGCCGGUUGGGAUUGAGGAUUUCAGUGCACGCUUCGGUUGUGCUUUGAUGCUGGCGUAAUGGCUUUAAGCGACCCGUCU